rnacentral:rRNA from 1 species
AGCGCAGGCGGGAAGACAAGUUGGAAGUGAAAACCAUGGGCUCAACCCAUGAAUUGCUUUCAAAACUGUUUUUCUUGAGUAGUGCAGAGGUAGAUGGGAUUCCCGGUGUAGCGGUGGAAUGCGUAGAUAUCGGGAGGAACACCAGUGGCGAAGGCGGUCUACUGGGCACCAACUGACGCUGAGGCUCGAAAGCAUGGGUAGCAAACA